rnacentral:ncRNA from 1 species
UUUUAUUGGGGAGCUUUAGAGGCUGAGAGGAAACAAUAAUUGUUUCGACCCUUAAACCUGAACUAGGUAAUGCUAGCGGAGGAAAUAUAAUAUUAU